UGAAAAAAUAAUUUAAGUGGUUAUUCGGACGGGAAAAUAUAUAUUUCAUUCUCUUAUAUAAAUCAUUGAAACCAUGUACCAAACUGUGAGCUUUAAAAUCCAAUACAUUGUUAUUGGUGAGGGUUUGUAUUUUUUAUAAAUGAGAAAAAUAUUUUGACUUUUUAUUGAUAAAAUAAAAUGAGUGGGAAACGCUUGCGUUGAAAAACUGUAGACAAGUAUAUUUUGGUAAUGUUUGAUAAUUUCAGUUACCUCCCUUGCCAAAUGAAUAUUUGGAGGCUUAAAAACUUAAGAAAAAAAUAAAAGCAAUAAAUUUUCAACUAUAAAUAAUUCAUAUAAAAUCAGCUUAAUUGUUUAUGAUAGACAUAAUUUUUUUUAACGCUGAAAUAUAUUUUAAAAAAAUAUUCAGUGCGGGUAUAUUUUCAAAACCAGUGUAAACAAAGAUGGCCGCCGCUAACGUCUGUGCACAGCAUGCUGCCAGAGUUGAUUGUUUUUCGGUGUUUUGGUGAUGUUGUCUCGAUCUCAAAUACCAUUGGAAGUUAAAUCAGGUCGCAAAUAAUACUAUGGGUACAUUUAUGUACACAUCCACUCCUCAAAGAAAAAAGCAAGAGGUGUUCACCCGAUGACGACAGAGGAAUGUUAUUUCUUGACAAAUGGGUAGUUCCAGAGGGGUCAGAGAAGUGCAAAUGAAAUAUUCUUCUGGAAAAUACUGUCCUUCUAUAUUUAAACUUGGAUAAAACAUAGAAAAAACCCUACAAGAUUGCUGAAAGAAAAAAACCCAUCAAGUUGCUUGGCAUGAUGGAUCUAGAUGACUUUUACAGCAUCUAAUAUCAUGGGUAAAAAUGAUAUUCCUGCAUAUGAAACAGUGAAAGUGCGCCGAAUAAGAAAGAAGAUCAAGAAGGGGGUUCAGGAAUUAUGUGAAGGAGUAAUUUGAAAGGAUAUAUUUAGAUGGCAGAGAAACUAAAUAGAUUUGCAAGUCAUUAUAUAAAUGGCCAUAUUCAUUUAAAAUAACCAAUGUUUUCCUAAGGAGUGGUUGAAUUUCCAGAAGAUAUCUCUUGGAAUUUGUUUUUCUCAAUUUAAUCAUCUGCACAUUUUUCUUCAAUGAAUAAAGGAUGCAAACAAGACUAAAAUAAGAUGCUUUGAAGUUUGUCAGAUUGACCACAUACAUGUAUGAGAGAGAGAGAGAGAGAGAGAGAGAGAGAGAGAGAGAGAGAGAGAGAGAAAGAGAGAGAGAGAGAGAGAGAGAGAGAGAAUGAGAAUGAACUUGUCUUCAUGCAUCAUGCACUGUAUGUACAUGUCAUCAUUUAGCAUUUUAAUGCUCAAUAAAUUGUUAAAUUGUUA